rnacentral:rRNA from 1 species
AUUGCCCCAGUAACGGCGAGUGAAGCGGCAACAGCUCAAAUUUGAAAUCUGGUCCCCAGGGCCCGAGUUGUAAUUUGUAGAGGAUGCUUUUGGCGAGGCGCCUUCCGAGUUCCCUGGAACGGGACGCCACAGAGGGUGAGAGCCCCGUCUGGUCGGAUGCCAAGCCUAUGUAAAGCUCCUUCGACGAGUCGAGUAGUUUGGGAAUGCUGCUCAAAAUGGGAGGUAUAUGUCUUCUAAAGCUAAAUACCGGCCAGAGACCGAUAGCGCACAAGUAGAGUGAUCGAAAGAUGAAAAGCACUUUGAAAAGAGGGUUAAAAAGUACGUGAAAUUGUUGAAAGGGAAGCGCCUAUGACCAGACUUGGGCCCGGUGAAUCAUCCAGCGUUCUCGCUGGUGCACUUUGCCGGGCACAGGCCAGCAUCAGUUUGGCGCGGGGGACAAAGGCUUCGGGAAUGUGGCUCCCCUCGGGGAGUGUUAUAGCCCGUUGCGCAAUACCCUGCGCCGGACUGAGGUACGCGCUCCGCAAGGAUGCUGGCGUAAUGGUCAUCAGCGACCCGUCUUGAAACACGGACCAAGGAGUCGUCUUCGUAUGCGAGUGUUCGGGUGUAAAACCCCUACGCGUAAUGAAAGUGAACGCAGGUGAGAGCUUCGGCGCAUCACCGACCGAUCCUGAUGUUCUCGGAUGGAUUUGAGUAAGAGCAUACGGGGCCGGACCCGAAAGAAGGUGAACUAUGCCUGUAUAGGGUGAAGCCAGAGGAAACUCUGGUGGAGGCUCGCAGCGGUUCUGACGUGCAAAUCGAUCGUCAAAUAUGGGCAUGGGGGCGAAAGACUAAUCGAACCUUCUAGUAGCUGGUUUCCG